GAUGAACGCUAGCUACAGGCUUAACACAUGCAAGUCGAGGGACCGGCGCACGGGUGAGUAACACGUAUCCACCCUGCCCUUUACUCGGGGAUAGCCUUUCGAAAGAAAGAUUAAUACCCGAUAUCAAGGAUGGGUAUGCGUUCCAUUAGGUUGUUGGUGAGGUAACGGCUCACCAAGCCUUCGAUGGAUAGGGGUUCGGAGAGGAAGGUCCCCCACAUUGGAACUUAGACACGGUCCAAAAUCCGACGGGCGGCAGCAGUGAGUAAUAGUGGUCAAUGGGCGCUAGCCUGAACCAGCCAAGUAGCGUGAAGGAUGAAGGCUUAUGGGUCGUAAACUUCUUUUAUAUAAGAAUAUGUAUUAGAUGAAUAAGGAUCGGCUAACUCCGUGCCAGCAGCCGCGGUAAUUC
rnacentral:rRNA from 1 species